AUACGGAGGAUGCAAGCGUUAUCCGGAUUUAUUGGGUUUAAAGGGUGCGUAGGCGGGGAAUCAAGUCAGCGGUGAAAGUUUGCGGCUCAACCGUAAAAUUGCCUUCGAAACUGGUUUCUUGAGUGUAGAUGAAGUAGGCGGAAUUUGUGGUGUAGCGGUGAAAUGCUUAGAUAUCACAAAGAACUCCGAUUGCGCAGGCAGCUUACUAAACUACAACUGACGCUCAGGCACGAAGGC
rnacentral:rRNA from 1 species